CACGGCUACCCCCGGCUCAACCUAGCCCAGACUGUCCGAGGGGCCCGCGCGCGGCCGCAGCCCCCGCCCCCAGCCCGCAGUGCUCUUACCUCCACACCUGCCCCAUCUGCAGCAGGUGGAUGACCGACUGCCAGAUCCACACGGAGAGGCGGCACAGACGCUGCGCCCCCGGGGUGGCCGAGCCCCCCGCACCCGGGCCGCCGCGGGCCGCGCCGUGGCCGUAGCCGGCCCCCAUCAUUGGGGGUCCCCGGCUGCUGAGCCCCUCCACGGCGCCUAGCCCGCCGCCCGUGUAGUCCUGCACGAACCAGCGGAAGCUCAGGCUCUGCACCAGCAGCGACGGCACCAGCACGAAGAACAGGGUCAGCCCGAAGCAGCCGUAGUCCCCCUUGCGGUAGUAGUCGAGGGCCAGCCACAGCGGCGCUGCGGCGCGGCUUCUUGCCCAGCAGCGAGCGCAGGCAGGCGGAGCGGCAGCCCCAGUAGCACGAGGAGGUGUUGCAGCAGUGGCAGAUGUGCAGCGAGCUGCUCUCGCCGGGCUCGCUGCCGUCGCCGCCGCCGCAGCCGCCUCCCCCGGGCUCCCCGUCCUCCUCGCCGCUGCCCACCGCCUCGUCCAGGUUGUGCAGCUGGGCGAAGCCCACCCCCACGCCACCGCCAUCGGAUUUCGCCGCCAUCUUGACUCUCUUCCCAGCUCCGGAGUGGUACCAAAAGGCUCCUUCAUAAUCAGUUCUACACAAUGAGUUCUCCUGAAUCACACCCUAUGCCGUCUACCCACUGAUGCCAACCCCAAAGGACAUCAUAUCACAGCACUAGUUAUAGGAAGGACCCUGUUACAUUGCAGUAACGGCACACAUCUAGGACACAUCGUGUAAAUCCUAGUAUGAGGAUGGGCCUCAGCACGACACCACUGAUGGGCUUUUGAGCCUCUGGAAGCUUCUUAACUCUAAGUGUGCAUCAUCCUUAUGCUUCUAUU
rnacentral:lncRNA from 1 species